CACCAGCAAUGGUGAGUGGCGAAAGGGUCAGUAACGCGAUCGAACGUGCCCCGAGGUUUGGGAUAGGCAUGGGAAACUGUGCGUAAUACCAGAUGAUCUCUACGGAGCAAAGGUUUACCGCCUUGGGAUCGGCGAUCGUCCUAUCAGGUAGUUGGCGGGGUAGCGGCCCACCAAGCCGAAGACGGGUAGCGGGUGUGAGAGCACGGCCCGCGACAUCGGAACUGAGACACUGUCCGGACUCCUACGGGAGGCUGCAGUAACGAAUCUUCCGCAAUGGGCGCAAGCCUGACGGAGCAAUGCCGCGUGUGGGAUGAAGCGUCUACGACGUGUAAACCACUGUCAGGGGGCGGAACCAAUGAUUGCCCCCAGAGGAAGUGGCGACUAACUCUGUGCCAGCAGUCGCGGUAAUACAGAGGCCACGAGCGUUAGUCGGAAUCACUGGGCUUAAAGGGUGCGUAGGCGGGCUUGUAAGCGCUCUGUGAAAGCCCCCGGCUCAACCGGGGAACAGCAGGGCGAACUACAAGUCUCGAGGCAAGUAGGGGCGGGCAGAACAGUAGGUGGAGCGGUGAAAUGCGUAGAUAUCUACUGGAAUGCCGAUGGUGAAGACGGCCCGCUGGGCUUGACCUGACGCUGAGGCACGAAAGCGUGGGGAUCAAACAGGAUUAGAUACCCUGGUAGUCCACGCCGUAAACGAUGCGCACUAGACCGGUGCGGUUUUGACGCCGUAUCGGUCGUAGUAAAAACGAUAAGUGCGCCGCCUGGGGAGUACGGUCG
rnacentral:rRNA from 1 species